rnacentral:lncRNA from 1 species
AUGGUUGCAUCAAACAUGUGCAUAGCAUGAGCAUCAUCAUUUAUUCAAAGCAUCCAUGAUCAUCAUCUAUCUUGAGACCUGUCAUUCUUUGCAAAAAUGUGUUUUAAAUUGCUUAAACAGGCUUCCUAUGCUUAUGUUUGAGUGAACAAUGCUUGUGUUUGUGCUUAAUGCCUUGGUAAAUAGCUUAUCUAUGCUUAACUUAAUCUUGGGAACAAUGUUCAUGUUGAUCACUUCUCCAAAAUAAUCACUUAAGUCAUACUUAUGCAAAUAGGCCCUAGAAACCUCUUUUGCUUAGGCUUUUAAAAAGUGUUUCAUAAAAUGUUUGCAUGUCAAAACUUCCUACAGAAAAGUUGUAGCAAAUUUUAUAAGGAACAAAAGUUGUUUUAUGGCCAUCUCAUGAAAAUGAACACAAAUAGCUCAAAAGUGGCCCACAAGGCAGAUUUGGGGCUGUUUUCAACACUUAGAAAAUUUUCUAAGUCCUGGGUG